GUGCCAGCAGCCGCGUGAAUACGGAGGAUGCAAGCGUUAUCCGGAAUCAUUGGGCGUAAAGAGUCCGUAGGUGGCACUUCAAGUCUGCUUUCAAAGACCGAAGCUCAACUUCGGAAAGGGAGUGGAAACUGAAGAGCUAGAGUAUAGUAGGCGUAGAGGGAAUUCCUAGUGUAGCGGUGAAAUGCGUAGAGAUUAGGAAGAACACCAGUGGCGAAGGCGCUCUACUGGGCAUAUACUGACACUGAGGGACGAAAGCUAGGGGAGCGAAAGGGAUUAGAUACCCCUGUAGUCCUAGCGGUAAACGAUGGAUACUAGGCGUAGUGCUGUUAGAAGGACUAUGCCGAAGCUAACGCGUUAAGUAUCCCGCCAGGGGAGUACGCACGCAAGUGUGAAACUUAAAGGAAUUGACGGGG
rnacentral:rRNA from 1 species